AUCCAACUGAAGAGUCCUAAUUGGGACGAAACGCGCGCCAAAUUGGAU
rnacentral:hammerhead_ribozyme from 1 species